rnacentral:rRNA from 1 species
UGCCAGCAGCCGCGGUAAUACGGAGGGUGCAAGCGUUAAUCGGAAUUACUGGGCGUAAUGCGCGCGUAGGCGGAGCAUUAAGUCUCAUGUGAAAGCCCUGGGCUCAACCUGGGAACUGCAUGGGAUACUGGUAUUCUAGAAUACAGUAGAGGGAGGUGGAAUUUCAGGUGUAGCGGUGAGAUGCGUAGAGAUCUGAAGGAACAUCAGUGGCGAAGGCGACCUCCUGGACUGAUAUUGACGCUGAGGUGCGAAAGCUUGGGGAGCAAACAGGAUUAGAUC